UGGCGGGUAGGGCUGGGAGAUUAGCCGUCUCCCGAUAGACUGAAACCGGCUACAUGCAGAGGCCAGUAACUGUCGGGUAAAGCCAUCUCUCCUUCUACCUACGCACUCGGGCGGGUUGAAUUCACGCCGGAGCGGGUGGUCGUGAGGUGCAGGCUCCUCGAAGGAGGGGUUCUGACUCUUGAUUGCCGAACCGGGCGAGGUCCGGGAGGGAGCAGCCCUAAGGUGACGCGGUCACGCUGCUCCGUCUACGUGGAGGACUGCCUUCUGUGCGGGACUGGGGAAGGUCGGGAUGACGAACUCCGGCGGGUCUGCCA
rnacentral:SRP_RNA from 1 species